rnacentral:lncRNA from 1 species
UAAAAUCCCUAAGCCUUUCCUUUCAAUUUCCAAAAACCAAAAAUUGAACUCCACUCCGACAACACACACAAACGCCUCUCACAUUUUUGCUUAUUUUUAGGGUUCAUUUUUUCUUCUUUUAUUAACCUAAAUUUCAUUUCUCCAUCCUAAAAAUCCUUGGAUCAGGUAACUUUUCCAAUAAAGCUCAUUCAGUUUUUUCCUUUAAAUGUUUUUGCGGGUCAAAUUUUUUUACCGUCCAUUUGUUCAUCUACAACUUUUUUGAUCCUGGGUUUUGUCUAAUAUUAAUAAAAAAAUCUUUAUAUUUGCUUCAAAUUAAAAAUCUCUUCUGCAUGAAGAAAAGCAGCAAAAUUAUGAUUGUUAUUUUUCCAGGAAUCUUGUUGUUCAUUCUUGUUUGAAGAUUAGACAUUAUUAUUGAUGUAUUAUUGAUGGUUUCACGCCCAAGGCCCUUGAUGUAUUUCGAAAAGAAUUUGAUUUCUUUNNNNN